UCUAGUAGCCAUAUCACUCUGCAACUCACAAGUGGCAACCCACUGAAGCUAAGCAGGUGUGAGCCUGGUCAGUACCUGGAUGUGAGACCACCUGGGAAAAACUAAGGCUGCUGCUGGAA
ensembl:rRNA 5S_rRNA 5S ribosomal RNA